GUAAACGGCAACAGGCGGCGCCCCCUGCCCGGCACCACACACCCGAGAUCGCUACCUCAGGAAUGCUCUGUGGGAUCCCGCCGCCUGGCUCCCGCCGCUGCCGCUGGGGCGGAUCAGCUGAUAUUUACCUGUGAGGUGGAGGUAACAGUUCACUGGAUUAAGAGGCUGAACAUUCUGGCCAAUAAACAACAGCAAUUGAAGAUAAUAUUCUAAGAAGCUUGCAGUGUUUUAAGUCCCCAUCCCACUGGCUCAGGUAUCACCAGGAAUCAACAGGCAAAGCAGUCUGCUUCCAGCCUGCGCAGCCAGAGAUGCUGCUAACAAAAACUAAACCACCACCCAAGGAGCAAUAAUGAAUGUGUCAGGACAUGGUCUCAGAAACAUGGAAGUCCUGCAGGACAAGGCUGGCAUUGCCUCCACACUGUGAAGCAUCCUCAUCUGUAAAGGCAUACUGCUGUCACUACUGAGCCUUGAAGCAUUACCCAGUGGGAUGUUUUCUUCAGAUGGUCUUUUGCUUUGGGGAAGAGGGAAAUCAAAGAGAGAAUAUGCUGAUUCAGGUGAAUCCUUCAGGUUUUAGCAGCAAUGGACAAGCUUCAGAGGUACCUUGGAGACUUGCAAGCAUGCAAAAGAUAAGGCACCAGGAUCAUUUUUGUUAAAGCCAUUUUUGCAUUACUUUAUAUAUCAGAGAGUGGUCAUUAAAUGGCUGGGGACAGCAGAUGGAGAAAUGCCACUCCUGAAACAAAACAGGAAUUUUUGCUGCCUCAUGCUCCAUCUCUACCUUUCUGUAUCUCAGCUCAGAGUGAGGGGCAGUACUAGAGGGCAGAGUGGUCAUGAUGGUUUUUACUUCCAUCUAAAACUUCACUGUCAUAGGACUCUUGAUUGUGGCUUUUGUUCUGAGUAACAGGAACAUGGGAUUAAGGAAACACACGGGCAUACUGAGGUCUAAAUAAACCUGCUUCUAACAGCAAAUAACCUGCAAGGUCUUGGUAUAGCUAAGUGCUGUGAUUCUGGCAGAUCUCCAGAGACAGAGCACGAAGGGGCAGUCCUGCACUCAUUCCUUGUUUAAUUCCUGAGUGCUGCUAUCUUUCAUACUUAGUGUCUCCUUGCUGCACUGCUUGCGGUAGGACCCAGCUGGUCAGAAAUCAAUGUGGCACAACUGUUUUCCUGUUGUUGCAGACUAUUGCAGAUUUUUGCCUCUUUCUGCCCAUUUCCAGAUUGACAUAAAGGGUUGGGAGAGCCCUAGAGCAUGGGGGAAAUACGGAGUAUGUGUUUUGUAAACCUGAUUACUUAGAGUAGGUGGGACCUGUGAGGUCCUCCUCAGGCCUGUAUUGCUAAGCUGGGAGACCUGCAGGACACAAUGGCAACUAUCUCCAGCUCCCUGCACUUGUCAUUUUCUACACAUGCUUGGAAAUUCUCUACUUAAUUGACUUGCAGCAGUGUCCUGAGCCAUACAGGUAGCAGGAACCUUCCUUGGUAAGGGGUUCUCUCCUCACUCCUGAGGAUUGAGGGAUAACUCAGUCAGGCAGAGCACACAGAGAAUAGCAGACCAACAAACCAAACAUCUGAACCAGCCGGAAGAAACCUACAAACCAAACCCAAACAGCUUCUCAUGUCUGAACCAUUUUUACAACUGUAAAUUCAUGGAGCUCUGCACCCCAUUUCUGUCUAUAAGCCCACAGUUGUUCUGAGAAUUCUUUUCAUUUAAUCAGUUUAGUUGAUUGUGUUCACUUUUUGGAAUUGAUGAUCUUUCCUUUGUUGCUACCGUUUGGAGUGGAGUUAUACUGAGUAAAACUUAUUCAGUUGUUUAACAGGAACACAGACCAGCAUUAGGAGUGUGCAACAGAUAAGCUGCAUUUGGGGA